GAUGAACGCUGGCGGCGUGCCUAAUACAUGCAAGUCGAGCGAACAGAUGAGGAGCUUGCUCCUCUGACGUUAGCGGCGGACGGGUGAGUAACACGUGGAUAACCUACCUAUAAGACUGGGAUAACUUCGGGAAACCGGAGCUAAUACCGGAUAAUAUAUUGAACCGCAUGGUUCAAUAGUGAAAGACGGUUUUGCUGUCACUUAUAGAUGGAUCCGCGCCGCAUUAGCUAGUUGGUAAGGUAACGGCUUACCAAGGCAACGACGCGUAGCCGACCUGAGUGGGUGAUCGGCCACACUGGAACUGAGACACGGUCCAGACUCCUACGGGAGGCAGCAGUAGGGAAUCUUCCGCAAUGGGCGAAAGCCUGACGGAGCAACGCCGCGUGAGUGAUGAAGGUCUUCGGAUCGUAAAACUCUGUUAUUAGGGAAGAACAAAUGUGUAAGUAACUAUGCACGUCUUGACGGUACCUAAUCAGAAAGCCACGGCUAACUACGUG
rnacentral:rRNA from 1 species